CGGAGUAUGAGUCGCGGCUGAGAUUAAACAGAGAAGACCAGCGUCCGAUGACGUGAGUAUUGCAGAGUGGGUGAGUCGAGGAUCCGAGGAAUGACUAGAGCACAAAGAAACCACAAGCAACCAAUGCCCCGGUCGAUGACGACACCGAUGAUUGCUGUCACAGGAGAUUUUGAUCUUAAAACACUCCAAGAUUUCUUACAGUGUGGGAAUGAUGACAAGCAAGAGGACCAAGUGUGUCAGUUAACUUACCCAAAGGGGCAUGACUUCCAAUAACUUCAGUCUUAUUUUCGUUUAAGGCAGCAUGUUUCGAAAGAACAGAGUGGAACCCAAAACAGACCCAUGUGUUACACCACAACAAAAAGGGGCAGGAGAAGAGGAGUUUUCCCCAGCAACAGAAAAAGACCUCUCUCACAGUUUCUAGGGCCUAGAGGGCAGCAGAGACCACACUAAUACUGACAACCUCAUUCUCAAAUACCACUUUUCUUUCCACGAACUCCCCAUUGAUGUUGAUGGGCUGCAGCACAAACGUCCUCCUUCUGAAGUCAACUACCAGCUCUUUUGUCUUGGUGGUCCAAGUUGUUGUCUGCACACAAAUCCAACAGCUUCUGAACCUCAGCUCUGUAUGCUGUCUCAUGGCCCCCAGAGAUGACCCCCACCACGGUGGUAUCAUCUGCGAACUUUGUCUGGGGCGGUACUGACACAGUUAUGAGUGUGUAGAGUGUACAUUAGGGGACUUAGUACACAGCCUCUAACCUCUAACUCUCUGUACACGGUCCAAGAGAAAGACUCUGAUCCAGCAGCAGGUGGUAAAAGGAAGUCCGAAAUCCGGUAGUUUUACUGUUAGUCUGUCCAGGAACUCCUCAGAAUUAUACUGUUUCCAUUCCUGCUCAUCUUGUACACGUCAGACUUUCAGUACAACAUCUACAGAAAUAAUUAAACAAUUCUGCAGUGGCUGGAUGUGUUAGUGAUGGGCAGGUGGAGGAGUUCGUAACACCUGUGGAUGAUUUUCUGAAGUCGUCAGGAGGAAUCAUUUGCUUCUGAAUGUGAAUAAGAUAGAUGGCAACCAACUUCAGAAGGAAGAGGAUGGCUACAUGGUCCGUGUCUGUGACAGGAUGUGGUGGAGACUGAACUGGGAGACCAACACGGGGGCUGUAAACAAGAAGGAGGUGACCAGCUCCGUUGCCACAGGAUAAUACAGGAAUUAUUUCAAACUAUAUGUGUGAUACCAUAUGUCACUGUUAUCUGGCACAGUCUGAUGAUAAUAAUAAUGUAUGUUACAUAUUAUUUUAUGAGUUAUUUUUAUCAUUAUUGUUUUUACUGUUUUAAUUACUGUUAUGACUACUCUUCGUACGUUCUUUCUUCAACUGCUGCAACAAAA